GAUGAACGCUGGCGGCGUGCCUAAUACAUGCAAGUCGAGCGAACAGACGAGGAGCUUGCUCCUCUGACGUUAGCGGCGGACGGGUGAGUAACACGUGGAUAACCUACCUAUAAGACUGGGAUAACUUCGGGAAACCGGAGCUAAUACCGGAUAAUAUAUUGAACCGCAUGGUUCAAUAGUGAAAGACGGUUUUGCUGUCACUUAUAGAUGGAUCCGCGCCGCAUUAGCUAGUUGGUAAGGUAACGGCUUACCAAGGCAACGAGGCGUAGCCGACCUGAGAGGGUGAUCGGCCACACUGGAACUGAGACACGGACCAGACUCCUACGGGAGGCAGCAGUAGGGAAUCUUCCGCAAUGGGCGAAAGCCUGACGGAGCAACGCCGCGUGAGUGAUGAAGGUCUUCGGAUCGUAAAACUCUGUUAUUAGGGAAGAACAAAUGUGUAAUUAACUAUGCACGUCUUGACGGUACCUAAUCAGAAAGCCACGGCUAACUACGUG
rnacentral:rRNA from 1 species